rnacentral:lncRNA from 1 species
CUUAAAAUGGACAGUAGGUGGCACUGUUUAGGAAAAAAUGAGAGUGAGUUUACAAAUUAACCAACUUGGUCUUCGGAGAUUGCACUGAAACUGUUACAGGAUAAAACAGGUUUUUCUUUCUUUCCUUCUUCCCCUUCCAAGGAUCAUCCGAGGACUGGACUUCUUUGGAACUCGACAGGGCUUUGAAGACUGGGUUUUUAGUCCUUAUCACAUAUAUGGGCUAUAAUGAAUAAGUCGAAACAGAAAAGUCGAAUAAACUGGAAAUGAUGCUUUCAGCACGUCGCACAAGCACACCGUUGCUUCAUGGCAUGCCUCCAGCUGAACGACCUGAGGUGCGAGGAGGUCAAGCGACCCCUCCAGAAAAAAACAACUAACAAAACAUACAAAGGAAAAAGACCAAUGAGGAAUUCAUCAGUAUUUUCUUUCCGAAGUAAUUUUAGGGAUACAGAGGAAGUCAAAUUCAAAACAUUUUAUCUUUCCCAGGAAACUGGAUUAUAGUAUAUUUAUUGCCUUUUAAAUCUGAUGGUUCAUCUUGUGGCUUCUCAUUGUGGCAAAGGACCCAACUGGAUCAUGCUAAGAUAGGUUUUGGGAGAUAAUUCGCUAAAGUGCCUUAUAAAAAGAGAAGAACGGAAUUGAUGAUAAACACUUUUGUUUUCUUUUGUGUGUGUUUUCUUUACUAGCUUAUCUAUUUCUGACUAUUUUGUUUAGUUCACAGAUUAAUAACACAAUUCUUACUGUUUAAAGAGAAUAAAGAAAAAUAAUAAAAAUUCAAUAGUUUUGAGUAUUCCUUUAGAACAGGUAGGUUCUGAAGAGAAGAAAGUAAACCAAAUAAUGUUCUGACCCCCCAAACUGAAAAUACUUCCA